GGGGGUAACAGAGAGAGCUUGCUCUUUGCUGACGACCGGCGCACGGGUGCGUAACGCGUAUACAAUCUGCCUAUCACUGAGGGAUAGCCCGAAGAAAUUUGGAUUAAUACCUCAUAGUAUUAUAGAAUCGCAUGGUUUUAUAAUUAAAGGUUACGGUGAUAGAUGAGUAUGCGUCCUAUUAGCUAGAUGGAGAGGUAAAGGCUCCCCAUGGCUACGAUAGGUAGGGGUCCUGAGAGGGAGAUCCCCCACACUGGUACUGAGACACGGACCAGACUCCUACGGGAGGCAGCAGUGAGGAAUAUUGGACAAUGGGCGCAAGCCUGAUCCAGCCAUGCCGCGUGUAGGAAGACGGCCCUAUGGGUUGUAAACUACUUUUAUACGGGAAGAAACCUAUCCUCGUGAGGGUAGCUGACGGUACCGUAAGAAUAAGCACCGGCUAACUCCGUGCCAGCAGCCGCGGUAAUACGGAGGGUGCAAGCGUUAUCCGGAAUCAUUGGGUUUAAAGGGUCCGUAGGCGGGCUAAUAAGUCAGUGGUGAAAUGCAGGGGCUCAACUCCGGCACUGCCAUUGAUACUGUUAGUCUUGAAUUAUUGUGAAGUGGUUAGAAUAUGUAGUGUAGCGGUGAAAUGCUUAGAUAUUACAUAGAAUACCGAUUGCGAAGGCAGAUCACUAACAAUAUAUUGACGCUGAUGGACGAAAGCGUGGGUAGCGAACAGGAUUAGAUACCCUGGUAGUCCACGCCGUAAACGAUGGUUACUAGCUGUUUGGACGAAUUGACGUCUGAGUGGCCAAGCGAAAGUGAUAAGUAAAACCCAC
rnacentral:rRNA from 1 species